ensembl:snoRNA LOC120098026 small nucleolar RNA U3
AAGACUAUACUUUCAGGGAUCAUUUCUAUAGUUCGUUACUAGAGAAGUUUCUCUGACUGUGUAGAAAAGCUAAAUCCCCCUUCAUGACUAUAAGUCCACUUGUCUACAUUCCGUCCUUUACAGGA